GGAGUUCUACCGUUCAUCUAUACAUAUUUUUGAGAAAAAGCCCUUUUCCUGUCAUUAAGAGUUUUUUUUCUGCUUUAAAGAAGGCCUUGCUCAACUCACGUAGGGCUGCGUUUGAGGAGGCUCUUCGAUGUUGUGAGGAAGUAAACGCGAUUGACAGGAGAAUCACUGGCUUCAUGCUGCCGUUUGGGAGCGUCGUCAACCUUUUUUAUAGCCCAGUUCUGCGGCAUGCCACUGAACUGGAGCAGGUUAAUCAUGCUUGUUAAUGGUGUCCAUCAUAGGAUACUCAUCCACAGGAGCAUCCACCACUCUCUUCAUUUUGGCAGUGGUUGGGAUUCCUGCAAGGGACCUUUCCCUUUUGUUUGCAUUAGAAUGGAUUUUAGAUCGCUGCAACUCUACUGUCAACGUCCUGGGAGACUGCGUUGGUGUGUUGAUUGUUGAGCAUCUGUCAAAAAGAGAACUCGAGGAAAUGGACGGGGGACAAAGGGAAGGGACACAGCCAGGUGAGGUUUUAGUUUUUUUUUGUUUUUUUUUACAGCAUCACAAGGGACAUCAGCACAUAAUAGAUGAUUGUAACCCAGUACAUGGACAAAUGAACAGAGCACAUUCUAUUUUUUUGUAGCUGAUUAUUAUCAUUUUUAUUAGUAGUAUGUGAGUAAAUGAUUUACAUGGAUAUGGAAAAAUUUGACACUUUGCAUUUAUGUCAUUCAAAUAUUGAAAAACAGAGCCCUGAUGAGGAGAGGCGCUCCAGGUACACACCAGUAGGGUUUCUGGUUGGCAAAGAUUUGCUUAUUUGAUUUAUUUGGAAUUUUUGUUGAUUUGUGUUUUUGCUGUUACAUAUUGAUUUUGUGUUUGUGCUGUAAAA